AGCUUGCACGCCGGGCUCCCGCAAGUACGACGGCUGCAACUGGUGCACGUGCUCCAGUGGCGGCGCCUGGAUCUGCACGCUCAAGUACUGCCCGCCCUCCAGCGGUGGUGGUCUUACAUUCGCGUGACCUGUAUCCCGUGGCCAGGUCGGCUGCCGCUGAAGACUUGACCGGGAGAAAUGGUCUGCUGCUUCAUAAAUGUUGAUAUUUGAAUGUAUGUGCUGCGAAUAUACUCAAAAUGGCUACGAAUAAAGCUUGAAAUACUCAA